GCCAACAAGGUCAAUCAGGAAAUGCGGUGCUCCGACUUGUCGUUCCGGGCUGGACAGGACGGAGGGGAAUCCAACGGAUCUCAUUUCAGGAACUACCGCGUUUGCACCGAGAACAGCGAUCUUCCACAAGGAACCUGGUUCCAGAAAGCGAUGCCCUUUACUCUGAGGAGUCCAACCUCCAAAAAUGCGCCUGGAAGAGCUGCGCAGGUGCAGACAGACCUAUUGAGAAGAUAGAAGACUUACUUUCAUCAUCUGAAUCAAAUCCAAAGAGUGUCUGACAUUUCUUUUGUGCAAGGAUGAAACUUGGUGAACAAAAUGUAAUCUCAAGAUCCUGAUAAAUUUACCAGAAAAGGGCUACCAAUAUGGAUUUUAGCUUUCUAGCAAGCAAAGCAGAAAUCUCAGGAUAUGGUUAUGAAGCUCCAUUUUGACUGAACUUACAAAAGGGUUCUAAGGUUUUACUUACACAAUGGAUUUUGAUUGUAUAAAC